UUUUUAAACUGAAAUUAUUGGGUAUCGUGUUCUUCAACACAUGCUUUAUUUUGCAUUUGGCAUCCAGUUAGAAUAGCAGUGCACAGACAGGGAACAGAAAGAAAAAAAGAACGCGAAGACUGAUAGACAGGCGGACAGAUAUCUUCUGCUAAAUAAAAAAACUCAAACGACUAGUUAAAUCUGGCUGCUGUUCCCAUAAGUUACACUCAGAAAGCACGUGCCCCUGGAUCAGUGCCUUUGAUGAGGUUUGCUGAGCACACUGUCUGAACUGUUGUCUUCGAGGCUGGUCACAACACUAUUCCAGGCACGGUGGACUUGCAAACCUCUCCAUGUGGAUCACAGAAGAUGCACCAGCACCAAGACUUCCCACUGCUUGAAUGCGGCGUUUGUUCUGCAGCCCCAGGGGAAAGGCUCCUCACACCACCGCUGCGACUACUGUGCUGACCAGAGAGAGAGUUUGUCUUUAUCUGCUGCAGCUACUUUCAACAAUGUCUCUGCGGCAAGGUCAGAGGAAUGGAAAAAAUCCCUCAAAGAAAUAUGAAAGCUCACCUCAGAAGUGCCCUGGGAAACGUGGAGAACAAACACUUGGUUGUUCUCAUUUUGUUCUACUUUGGAUUGAGAUGACAGAACUGGAUGGCUUGCACUAAAAGAAGGAAACUGAAGGAGACAUCUUGUGAAUCGCUUGCUUAAGACGAAAAGACUUCUGCAAAACUACUCUUCGACUCUAAACUAGCCUGGUUAGAAAUUGAAGCAGCCAUCUAAACUAAACCUUUAUCCAGAUAUGCAGCAAGAAGUGCAGAUUAUGUUUGGAGAGAGAUUUUGGAAUAAUCUGCAGUUAAAAAUAUUGUAUGGGACCUUGCGUUGUGGCCUCAGAAGAGACUGAAUUGUGAGUUGCUGCUGCUGCCCUUGAACCCACUUCAGUCAAUGGAAAGUUUCAUUGGCACCUGAAUUUGUUGCUUUGGGUAGCUGCCUAGCUACCAGCUAAACCCAGCACAUAAUACUGUCAUCAGGGGAAGAGGAAUGUGCAGUCCAGCAAGCAAGACAUGCAUGGAAAAGUACGUUUCUCUCAGCGUGUUUUGCAAUCUCCAUGCUACUCCCUCCCCAUCUUCCUUUCCACUGAUCUCAUCUGUGAAGUCAAGAAGAAACUGUAGAAAGUAGCACUUGCAGGGCAAGAUCAUUUAACUGCCUGCUGAGUGCCCAACGUCAGCUUAACUUAGCUUUGAUAUUCUUAGUGGGGCCAUCCCAUUACCAGAAAGAGAUGUUCAGAUUUGUUUGUCACUCAUGGGAUCCAAAGGUACUUGAGGUUGUAUCAGUUCACACAGUGGAUUUGGGAUUGGAGCUAUGGAGUUGCCUUCUGUUGGCGUGCACUAAUUUCUUGGGAAACAAGACUGCAUGUUAUUUAAGUCCCAACACAGUGUUUCUGUUGUGUUCAGAGCACACAAAAUACUUGUUCUCCAUGCGUGAACUCCAGUCUCCAGUGGCACUGUGUAAGAACGCCCAAGCCUUCAACUCCCCCCCAAGAAAGCCAUUGUUCUUGCUCUUCUCACUGCAGCCCAGCUACGAGGAAAUGACAAGUUUCCCGUUUCUCAGAUAGGUCCAGGACCAUCUAAAAAUAACACCUAUGAAACUAGCUUCUUGAAUUAAUUAUGUCCCAGGUAAAAAUAAACCUGAAACACAAAAUGGAAUGCCCAUGCCCUUGUCCCUAAUGAGAUCUAUCAUUUCUUCUCCACCUCAUGGCAUGCCUCUCUUUUAAGUGAAACCCCAAAGCUUGCUGCCUUUCAGUAGAUCAGUACGUCUGACACGGCUGAUUAAACUCACUCUUUGACAUCCAGCUCAGUAAGUUUGAUCAUUAUUUGCACUUAGUAAAUAAGAUAAUUCAAUCAAUAAUUUUGUAAAUGAAAUAAAUGUUCUCAGCCUGUAAAGAGGAAAGGCGUUAGCAAAACAGACUCCAUGGAGGAAGAACUCUUUAAUUCAUGAAUGCACUUAAGUAACAGAUCCUCCACACAGCCUCUUACAAGAGGAAGUCAGUGCUACUUAGCUGCUAUGAAACUUACAGACAACAGAGCGGUGGAUCACUGCUCCAUCCUUGCAGAACUGCCUUGCUGGAACAGAGAUCUGCCUGACAAAUCUCCCAGAGGACAGCAAAGCAGAGAAAGCGAAGCCCUGCCUAUUCGUUCACUCUUCCUGUUAUUAAUUUGCACUAUUAUUACUAAUAAAGAUUAUUUUACUGUGCUAAUGCUUAAUUGUGACAUGGAACCAAGGAGAGCAUGGUGCUAGGCACUGCGUAAACACAGGAAAACAGGGCGUCCUGCUGCACUGAAUGGAAGGCUUUAGACAAUGUGAAUAAAUAUCCAUCCCUUCUGAAAUCCUGUUGGAGCCUCCUUCCAAGUAAUCUCGGGUUCAACCACUACUACUGAUGCAGCAAAACAGAAUCAAGAUUGACUCUGGUAAAGACUCCCUAAAAACAUAUUCUGGCAAAACAGAAACAGACUAAAUAGGCCUCGUGAAGAAAUACGUAUUUGUGAAGCUGCCCUGAUUUAAAAGAUAUGUUUUCUGUCCCUCACCCUUCACACAGACCCAAGCUAUGGUAACAUGCUGGAGAUACAUCAUGUGAUAAUUCAGGAACACUCACUAACUCUGUAGAAAAAUCAGUGAUAACACAAGAGUAAGCAAAUAAACCUUGAGAUUGUGAAGCAAAGCAAAAAAAAACAUUAAAAAGAAUCCACCAUGGUCUGGUCUGGUGCACGCUAUCAUUACCAACAUGAGUUCAUGAUCCUGAGAGGACAGCUGAUGUGCCUCACCACAGAGCAGUUCUUGGGGCAGAUUCAUUAUUAGCAAAGCACAAGCUCAACAGUUUGCUCUCCUAUAAUGAUCCAACAGUGACACUCAGGUGAGCAGCAAAUAAACAUUCAGGCUGGAAUUUGGCCAGGGCAGUAGACUGAAUAUUCUGCACUUAAUGAGAAAUGCCAUACAGGCUGCAAUGUCCAAGCAGAGCAGGAAUGAGCUCAAUUAAAAGAUCUCAUCUGAAAAUUCCCUACAUAACAAGCUACAAAGACCAGCAUUUACCAGCCCUGGGAAACAUCAAGCGUCGAGUUGACUCUGACUGCAACUGCCAAAUGUGGUAUAGCACUUGGAGAACAUUUACUGUGGAUGAAAGCAAGUGAGUUUUGCCUUGGAGGGUCCUAGGUAUGUCCCACAGGAAAAAAAACUGCAAAAGGUCUCUCUUCCUCCCUGCUGUUGGCCAGCUUCUCUUGUACGUACCAUCAUGCUCUCAAAUGAACUCACUCAUAAUGUGAUGACAACCUUCCCAUUCUUUGGAUGCCAGACUUUAAAUGAAAGGAAAUUAGGGUGUUUGGAAGGGUGUCACUUUAUCCUCUGCCAAAGACCUGGAGAAUUUUCUUUCUCUUUUUUUUAGGAGCAGCCAAGCCACUUUUGAUCACAUACCCACUGAGCACGGCUGAUGUGCCGUAAAACAAAACUAAACACAUUUACUUCAUAAUUGUCUAUUCCUUUUUCUCUUCCUACCCAUACUUUUUUCCUUCUAUUGUUCUAUUCACUUUACAUGCCCAGGCUCUACUAGUACUGGCCUUGUAUAUCUCCCUCUCCCUAUCUUUACUUUUCCUGCACAUUACUUUCUCCUCCUCUCUCCUAAUUUAACCUAGUCUAGUCUAACCUACCCUAAUCUCACCUAACCUACUUUAAUCUAAUCUCUCCUCUUUCUUCCUUUGCUCUUAUUUCCCUUUCAUAUUUCCUGUUCAAACAGAAAGUAGUUUGGCCACUUCCAACUUCAAAUUUAUGGUUGUGUCUUACAGCAAUUCACUAACAGAAAUAACAUGAUAUUUAAGAUAAAAAUGCCCAGCUUAUCAUGGCAUUUCCUUCAGUUUUGUUGCUCUAACUCCACUGAAUUCAGCAGAGUUGUGGUGAAUGGAAAAACAAGAUAAUUGAACAGGCAUUAGUGCUUUUGGUUAUUCAGCGUGACUGUCGGUACUCCAGACAGAGCCCCAUGGGCAUCUGCAUGCUAGGAGACAAGCCUUGUGGGUGCCUGCUGUUACUUACGUAACGAUAUUCCCAUCCUGUUCUAUCUAUAAAUUCACAAGGACUCACUAAACUGUUUAUUUUCCAUUUAUAACUGUUGAAAGUCUCUAACAUGAGCUCUAAUACUAUUCUAAACGCCACUAUCUGAAAUUAGCUGUAAAUCUCUCGUGCUGCUUAAGCUCAAGGAAGUUCACUGAUCUUGAAGUUUGGUAUCUAGACAACAAUCUUCUUUAAAUAGCUCGCCCAGAGAUAUAAGCUAAACAGAAAGGUCGUAGACUUGAAAAACCUUGAAGAAAUAGCUUCAAGACACUCUCCAGGCAAGGUCAGUAACUCUGCCAUAACACUGACUUUCUCAAUACUUUUAAUUCUCAGAGGAAUAUUAAUAUUAUUUAUCACAAUCAUGGUGAGGUAUUCAGUAAAAACAAGAGUUUUCCUUCAGUCUGCCAUAGCCCAUAGCAAUAUCAGUAGCCAAACAGAUGUAGCUCCAUAUUGUACAAGGGAAGUUUCAAUUUAUCAGUGAAGUUGGAAUGGAAAAUAUUAAGAGCAUCUGGAGACACUAUUCCACAUCUGCUGAAGAUAAAAUAUGUAAUUGUAUCAAGUGGGAAACUCAUAAGAAAUAUAGGAUUUUCUCGUAAAUGUUAGUAAUUUACAUUGAAAUGUGCUUAGAACAGUUAGCUAUAUAAGUAAUUUGUUACUGUUGAGAGUAACACACAGUUUUGACCACAUUGCUAAAGUCACAGCCUUGACAGUGCCCCCAACAAAGUCCAGUCCCUGGUUAUUGCAGGCUGCCGUUAUCUGACACCGCCGUCUCAGGAUAAUUACCAAAAACUCUCCGUAUGUUUCUCUAGUGGACACUGAACAUCACUGUCACAGAGCAUAGAACUGUUGAACGGCUCGUGUUGAAGGGGCUUUGGGGGUGAUCUAGUUCCAACCUACCCUCCUCUGAGGUCGUCAGAAAAUGCAGCGAUUCACCAGACACAGAGCCGUGUUCACAGCUGUGCAGAUCUGGGCAAUGUCCACUGAAAGUUUGCCUAUCUUGACAACACUGCACUGCUGCUAGCGCUUUCUUGUCCCUGUAGAGCUCUUCAGAAGUCCCUGGGGUUGUGCCAGCUGGUGGGGCAGUGCAGAAGAACAAACUGCCCCUCUCCUCUGUAACAUCUUCUGUCUGCCAUUAAUGACUAAAACUGCUAUCACGGAGCAGGCCAUUCAUCCUACCUGCAUACAGGAAAAACUGACUGGCAUUUUAACUCAGCUGAAGCAUUCAGCAGUAGCCAUAUGAUGAAUUGUCAUCUUAAUCCUCCUGUUUGCCUGAUGGGCUGCAAAGGCAAGGAAGCAGUGAUGAAUGUAACGGCAGCAACAAGAUGUAGCCACGCUGAUGAUUUUUUCCCCAACAUUUAUCAGCAAAUCCAGAUGUUUACUGCUUGCAACUCUCCAGUUCAUCAGUUUAAAUGACAUAAAAUGUUAAUGCAUAUUUAGAUGUUUGAAUCACAUUUGAGUCUCCAUCAUUCUUUUGGUUAGUUAGCAGCAGUCAGAUAGGAAGCACUAUUGAAGAAUGUUCUGGACACACUUUCCACCACCUUUUUUUUUGGUCAGAGGUUUGUGUAUUGGUUAAACAUUAUAGUAUUGAGUCCUGCCUUAUAAUUCUAACCUACUUAUUUUUGUUCAAAAAGAAAAACAAAACUUACUGAUGGCAAAAUGUAAAUGCUGUAGAAUGCAUCUCCGUAUAUCCUGAAUGAACACAGGAUGCUAACCAGCAUCUAUUCCUAUCCAUUGUUGCUUUCUCUUUACCCCACUACCACCCUUUUCAAAUGCGUUUUGUUUGCUAAUGCAAUAUAUGACAGAAAGGAGUUGGAGCGUCGAUAACAUUUCAACUGUUCUUUUCACUUCCUAACACCCCUUUGCAAAAGCAGUGCAUUACACAGGAAUGAACUGAAGCUAUAAAAUGAUUAACUU